UUUUUUUUUCAAGCUCUGGUUUCCCGGCGACGCUGUCCGGAGUUAACCUGCACGCCUGCGCUCCCUCUCUCCCGGCACCCUGUUAGUUGUUGGGCCCAGAGCGGCCAGCUGUCCUCCAGAAAAAGCAUCCUGAAGAAGACGACCAAUUGUCACAGAUCUUCACAUCAAGUUCCAGAUCUGGCAUCUCUGGAUUUUGUGUCUUCAGUAAAGGAGACCCCAGGAGCACUGAUCAGUCCUUGAAUUCUAGAACUAUGGCCCACGGACGC
rnacentral:lncRNA from 1 species